rnacentral:rRNA from 1 species
UGGGGGAUAUUGCACAAUGGGCGAAAGCCUGAUGCAGCGACGCCGCGUGGGGGAUGAAGGCCUUCGGGUUGUAAACUUCUUUUGCUCUGAACAAGGCAUGCUAAGGGGUGUGUUGAGUGUAGGGGUUGAUUAGCGCCGGCUAACUACGUGCCAGCAGCCGCGGUAAUACGUAGGGCGCGAGCGUUGUCCGGAAUUAUUGGGCGUAAAGGGCGUGUAGGUGGCUGGUUGCGUCGGUCGUGAAAGCUCAUGGCUUAACUGUGGGUUUGCGGUGGGUACGGGCUGGCUUGAGUGCAGUAGGGGAGGCUGGAAUUCCUGGUGUAGCGGUGGAAGGCGCAGAUAUCAGGAGGAAGACCGGUGGCGAAGGCGGGUCUCUGGGCUGUUACUGACACUGAGGAGCGAAAGCAUGGGGAGCGAACAGG